rnacentral:miRNA from 1 species
UCAGGUCCCUGUUGAGGCGCCAGAUGUAGCAGAUGGCCCGUCGUCUCCACAAGGCUUGGUGACAGCUGCGAAGG